rnacentral:lncRNA from 1 species
ACUAGCCCGGGCCACGAUAGGUCGGACUACAGCUGGUAGCAACUGGGGGUCGGAAGUGGAGCCCAGACAACAGCGGAGGAGAAAUUUCCGGGGCAGAAAAUGAAGGUGUCCGAGAGACUGACAAUUCUCUUCUGACUUCCUCAGUGCUAACUGGCUUUGGGUAUCUCCUGCAGCAAAGUGGCCGCCCCGCCCUCUCAUCCCCUGCGACCCAGCACCCUUCUUCCUUGCCUUGAGGCUGCGCCUUAGACAGCCCGGUGGGUAUCUGUUUACCCCUUAGCACUAAGGGAUAAGUGCACAGUAAGUGCAGAAUCAUACAGUGUUUCCAAAUCCUCAGGGUAGACGUGUGAGCUUAGUAAAUGAGAGGAAUAGCGGACGAACCUCUCCGUGUGUUUGUGUCUCGAGUGCCCUCAUCUCAGGAGCAAUUUUAAUAACUUAACAGUUGCGGUCACAUUACUUUGAAAAUACAAAAAACGUAGAAAUCAGAGUAGCAAAGAAAAUUAUGGAUCUGAUGCUGUGCCAGAAUUGAUCACAGUUGCUCUAAAGCCCUGGGGUAAUAGUUAAUAUUUCAUGUGAGCCUCCACUUAAACGAUUUAUCAAUACUCAGUACACCACUCUUGGAACAGCUAGUAAAACUUCAGGUGCAUUAUAAAAAGUACAGUAAUGCAUUGGCUUCAACUUGCAUAUUUCCCAAACAUGGGCGUUUGCAAGAAAAGCAAACACUUUUUGAUAACAUAUACUGAAGGAUCUUAAAAUAAGAUCAGCAGCUUAUAAGUGAACCUAAAAAUCUAUACACUGUUUCCAUUGAUCUCAAGGUUAUUUAGAGAUCUGCUCACGUCCUCCUACCCCUAAAGACUUUUUAGUUUUUCAUAUUCUCUUUCUCUUCUUCUACCUAGAAGUAUUAAAUUUUCAUAUUGUGAUCCACCAUAGAUAGGUAUGUUUUCUUCAUUUAACCUAACGUGAGUAUUUUUCUAUUUUGUUUCAUAGUCAUUGUUACAAAUGACGGAGUAUUCUGUUGAAUAAAUGCACUGUAAUUUAACCUUUCUCUAAUUUCCCCAACUUUAUUAUAUAUAAGUUACAGUGCUCAACCUGUGUAUUGUUUUUCUUAUUUCGAAUUUCCCCCUUUAGGAAAAUUUUUGGAAAGCGACAGUUCUGGGGUAAAGGGCAUAAGGCUUUUUAAAUAACUUUAAGAUUUUAAAGAUAUAUAGAGCCAAUUGCUUUCCGAAAGGUGGUACCAAUUUACAAUUGCACCGGCUGUGAAUGUAAUAGACCGUAGAAAUUGAUCAUACACAAUUGGAAAUGAGUAAGUGGAGAGCUCUAAAAAGUUUUAGUUGUGACCAAAUCUGUUGUCUUGAGUAUCCUAGUAUCAAUGCAACAUUACCAGGAUUGUUAGUGAACUAAACCUUUUAAAUAAUUUUAAUGUUUAUUUCUAGUUUUUCAUCUGUAGCAUUUUACAAUCAGAAUAUAAUUGCUUAUGGUAGAUAAUUUGGAAAACGCAGAAGUAUACUAAGAACAAAGUCAACAAUAAUUCCACCACCCAGCAAUAAGUACUGAAUGGCUAAAAUAACUCUUUGGUAAAUUUAUUUUCAGUGUUUCCUGACACCCCAAGCAUUUAUAGAUAUAUAUGUUUAAAAAGAGUCGUGUUAUAUAUAGGAGUUUAUGUUCCUCCCUUGGGUAUUUUGAGAAACUAUAAAAUUAAAUCAUUCUUAUGAUUAAGAAAAACAGUGUUACAGCAACAGCCUGUUUCAAUCCCACCUCCACUUACAUUUCCAUUCCAACACUUCAGUGCUGACUAACACCCACUGUUUGAAAAACUUUCUAGAAUUUACAUGUAUAUUUUAUAUACACUUUGAAUAUAUCUUCCCUUCCUUCUUUACCCCCAUACAUAUCAAAAUAUGCUUUAACUUUGACUAUCUUGUUAUUAACAAAAGACUUAAAUAAAUAUGUUAACUUAAAACAAUUGUCAAUUAUUCUUGGUGCAAAAUGAAUGUUUAUCAUACUACUCUCUUUUUCUGCAUUUAAAAAUAUUUCUUAAAACAAUUCAGUUAAGUUUAAUUAAGCUCCAUUAUCUUGGGCUGGGUGCUGUGGCUUACGGCUGUAAUCCCAGUACUUUAGGAGGCCAAAGUAGGUGAAUCACCUGAGGUCAGAAGUUUGAGACCAGCUUGACCAACAUGACGAAACCCUGUCUCUACUAAAAAUACAAAAAAAUUAGCUGCGUAUGGUGGCGCAUGCCCGUAACCCCAGCUACUCGGGAGGCUGAGGCAGGAGAAUCACUUGAACCGGGGAGGCAGAGGUUGCAAUGAGCUGAGAUCAUGCCAUUGCAUUCCAGCCUGGGUAACAAGAGCGAAAC